rnacentral:rRNA from 1 species
UACGAAGGGGGCUAGCGUUGUUCGGAAUUACUGGGCGUAAAGGGCGCGUAGGCGGCCUUCUAAGUCGAACGUGAAAUCCCCCGGCGUCAACCACGGGAACUGCGUCCGAUACUGGGAGGCUUGAAUCCGGGAGAGGGAUGUGGAAUUCCAGGUGUAGCGGUGAAAUGCGUAGAUAUCUGGAGGAACACCGGUGGCGAAGGCGGCAUCCUGGACCGGUAUUGACGCUGAGGCGCGAAAGCCAGGGGAGCAAACGGG